rnacentral:rRNA from 1 species
UACAGAGGUCUCAAGCGUUGUUCGGAAUCACUGGGCGUAAAGGGUGUGUAGGCUGUGCGUUAAGUCAGAUGUGAAAGCCCAGGGCUCAACCUUGGAACUGCAUCCGAUACUGGCGUGCUAGAGAAUUGGAGAGGAGUCUAGAAUUCACGGUGUAGCAGUGAAAUGCGUAGAUAUCGUGAGGAAUACCAAGUGCGAAGGCAGGACUCUGGACAUUUUCUGACGCUGAGACCCGAAAGCGUGGGGAGCAAACGGG